rnacentral:rRNA from 1 species
UACGUAGGGGGGCAAGCGUUGUCCGGAUUUAUUGGGCGUAAAGAGCGUGUAGGCGGCUGGGUAGGUCCGUUGUGAAAACUCGAGGCUCAACCUCGAGAUGUCGGCGGAAACCGUCUGGCUAGAGUCCGGAAGAGGAGAGUGGAAUUCCUGGUGUAGCGGUGAAAUGCGCAGAUAUCAGGAAGAACACCUAUGGCGAAGGCAGCUCUCUGGGACGGUACUGACGCUGAGACGCGAAAGCGUGGGGAGCGAACAGG